rnacentral:rRNA from 1 species
UUAAGCGACUAAGCGUACACGGUGGAUGCCCUGGCAGUCAGAGGCGAUGAAGGACGUGCUAAUCUGCGAUAAGCGUCGGUAAGGUGAUAUGAACCGUUAUAACCGGCGAUUUCCGAAUGGGGAAACCCAGUGUGAUUCGUCACACUAUCAUUAACUGAAUCCAUAGGUUAAUGAGGCGAACCGGGGGAACUGAAACAUCUAAGUACCCCGAGGAAAAGAAAUCAACCGAGAUUCCCCCAGUAGCGGCGAGCGAACGGGGAGCAGCCCAGAGCCUGAAUCAGUGUGUGUUAGUGGAAGCGUCUGGAAAGGCGCGCGAUACAGGGUGACAGCCCCGUACACAAAAAUGCACAUACUGUGAGCUCGAUGAGUAGGGCGGGACACGUGGUAUCCUGUCUGAAUAUGGGGGGACCAUCCUCCAAGGCUAAAUACUCCUGACUGACCGAUAGUGAACCAGUACCGUGAGGGAAAGGCGAAAAGAACCCCGGCGAGGGGAGUGAAAAAGAACCUGAAACCGUGUACGUACAAGCAGUGGGAGCCUCUUUAUGGGGUGACUGCGUACCUUUUGUAUAAUGGGUCAGCGACUUAUAUUCUGUAGCAAGGUUAACCGAAUAGGGGAGCCGAAGGGAAACCGAGUCUUAACUGGGCGUUAAGUUGCAGGGUAUAGACCCGAAACCCGGUGAUCUAGCCAUGGGCAGGUUGAAGGUUGGGUAACACUAACUGGAGGACCGAACCGACUAAUGUUGAAAAAUUAGCGGAUGACUUGUGGCUGGGGGUGAAAGGCCAAUCAAACCGGGAGAUAGCUGGUUCUCCCCGAAAGCUAUUUAGGUAGCGCCUCGUGAAUUCAUCUCCGGGGGUAGAGCACUGUUUCGGCAAGGGGGUCAUCCCGACUUACCAACCCGAUGCAAACUGCGAAUACCGGAGAAUGUUAUCACGGGAGACACACGGCGGGUGCUAACGUCCGUCGUGAAGAGGGAAACAACCCAGACCGCCAGCUAAGGUCCCAAAGUCAUGGUUAAGUGGGAAACGAUGUGGGAAGGCCCAGACAGCCAGGAUGUUGGCUUAGAAGCAGCCAUCAUUUAAAGAAAGCGUAAUAGCUCACUGGUCGAGUCGGCCUGCGCGGAAGAUGUAACGGGGCUAAACCAUGCACCGAAGCUGCGGCAGCGACACUAUGUGUUGUUGGGUAGGGGAGCGUUCUGUAAGCCUGUGAAGGUGUGCUGUGAGGCAUGCUGGAGGUAUCAGAAGUGCGAAUGCUGACAUAAGUAACGAUAAAGCGGGUGAAAAGCCCGCUCGCCGGAAGACCAAGGGUUCCUGUCCAACGUUAAUCGGGGCAGGGUGAGUCGACCCCUAAGGCGAGGCCGAAAGGCGUAGUCGAUGGGAAACAGGUUAAUAUUCCUGUACUUGGUGUUACUGCGAAGGGGGGACGGAGAAGGCUAUGUUGGCCGGGCGACGGUUGUCCCGGUUUAAGCGUGUAGGCUGGUUUUCCAGGCAAAUCCGGAAAAUCAAGGCUGAGGCGUGAUGACGAGGCACUACGGUGCUGAAGCAACAAAUGCCCUGCUUCCAGGAAAAGCCUCUAAGCAUCAGGUAACAUCAAAUCGUACCCCAAACCGACACAGGUGGUCAGGUAGAGAAUACCAAGGCGCUUGAGAGAACUCGGGUGAAGGAACUAGGCAAAAUGGUGCCGUAACUUCGGGAGAAGGCACGCUGAUAUGUAGGUGAAGCGACUUGCUCGUGGAGCUGAAAUCAGUCGAAGAUACCAGCUGGCUGCAACUGUUUAUUAAAAACACAGCACUGUGCAAACACGAAAGUGGACGUAUACGGUGUGACGCCUGCCCGGUGCCGGAAGGUUAAUUGAUGGGGUUAGCGGUAACGCGAAGCUCUUGAUCGAAGCCCCGGUAAACGGCGGCCGUAACUAUAACGGUCCUAAGGUAGCGAAAUUCCUUGUCGGGUAAGUUCCGACCUGCACGAAUGGCGUAAUGAUGGCCAGGCUGUCUCCACCCGAGACUCAGUGAAAUUGAACUCGCUGUGAAGAUGCAGUGUACCCGCGGCAAGACGGAAAGACCCCGUGAACCUUUACUAUAGCUUGACACUGAACAUUGAGCCUUGAUGUGUAGGAUAGGUGGGAGGCUUUGAAGUGUGGACGCCAGUCUGCAUGGAGCCGACCUUGAAAUACCACCCUUUAAUGUUUGAUGUUCUAACGUUGGCCCCUGAUCGGGGUUGCGGACAGUGUCUGGUGGGUAGUUUGACUGGGGCGGUCUCCUCCUAAAGAGUAACGGAGGAGCACGAAGGUUGGCUAAUCCUGGUCGGACAUCAGGAGGUUAGUGCAAUGGCAUAAGCCAGCUUGACUGCGAGCGUGACGGCGCGAGCAGGUGCGAAAGCAGGUCAUAGUGAUCCGGUGGUUCUGAAUGGAAGGGCCAUCGCUCAACGGAUAAAAGGUACUCCGGGGAUAACAGGCUGAUACCGCCCAAGAGUUCAUAUCGACGGCGGUGUUUGGCACCUCGAUGUCGGCUCAUCACAUCCUGGGGCUGAAGUAGGUCCCAAGGGUAUGGCUGUUCGCCAUUUAAAGUGGUACGCGAGCUGGGUUUAGAACGUCGUGAGACAGUUCGGUCCCUAUCUGCCGUGGGCGCUGGAGAACUGAGGGGGGCUGCUCCUAGUACGAGAGGACCGGAGUGGACGCAUCACUGGUGUUCGGGUUGUCAUGCCAAUGGCACUGCCCGGUAGCUAAAUGCGGAAGAGAUAAGUGCUGAAAGCAUCUAAGCACGAAACUUGCCCCGAGAUGAGUUCUCCCUGACUCCCUGAGAGUCCUGAAGGAACGUUGAAGACGACGACGUUGAUAGGCCGGGUGUGUAAGCGCAGCGAUGCGUUGAGCUAACCGGUACUAAUGAACCGUGAGGCUUAACCU